CUCCUGGUCCUCCUCCUUACUAGUAGUACUACAUUUGAACUCCAGAUCUGUCUCCCCAUCUCUCUUCCUCUGAAAUUGGAGUACCAAAUUCCUCACUUUUUUUCAACCAUCGGAGUAUCGCGUACUCCACCGGUAAUCCCUUUUCUCUCCAGUCACCGGCGUCUCCCUCGGCAAUCGCAUCAAAAUGAGCACCGGAGAGCUCCUCAGCAUCGAACCCCAGGAGCUUCAAUUUCCUUUUGAAUUAAAGAAGCAGAUCUCGUGUUCUCUGCAAUUAACGAACAAAACCAGCAACUAUGUGGCAUUCAAGGUCAAGACGACCAAUCCUAAAAAGUACUGCGUUCGUCCUAACACCGGAAUCGUAUUGCCACAGUCUACAUCCGAUGUUAUAGUGACAAUGCAAGCACAGAAGGAGGCUCCUGCCGACAUGCAAUGCAAGGAUAAGUUCCUCCUUCAGAGCGCGGUCACCAGUCCUGGAGCUACUACAAAGGAUAUCACUCCAGAGAUGUUCCACAAGGAGUCUGGAAAUACUGUUGAGGAGUGCAAGCUGAGAGUUUCUUAUGUCGCGCCACCACAACCACCAUCACCUGUGCGAGAAGGAUCAGACGAAGGUUCUUCGCCAAGGGUUUCUGUGUCAGACAAUGGAACUCUAAAUACAGCUGAAUAUACUGCUGCUUCAAGUGCCUUUGCCGAAAGGAUACAUGUCAAUCCUCAAGAUAACUCAUCAGAGCUUUCUGCCCAGAAGGGACAUUACGUAGAGGAGUGCGGGGUGAGCUGACCCCAUGCGAAAAGUGGGAAAUUCUACUAUUAUGGUGUAAAUCUGAAUUGGCCACAAAUUGACCCCAUCAAGUAUAACCAUGGCCACAACCGUUAUGCAAAACACGGGAUUAUUUCCUCUUAAACCCCCACCGCUUGACUGUUCCGACAUAUAUGGUUCAACUGUCUCUCUCUCUCAUCUAUGGGUUGCCAAUGGAAUCAUAGAUUGUCUUAGAUAAACAUUUCUUCUUAAUAUUUAACUCUUGCAUCUUAAUCUCCAGAAUCGUAUGCAUUGUUUUAGUAUUUAAUUGACUGAUGUAUCAUUGAAUUUGUAUGAAACUAGAGAAUCGUUAUGUAACUUGGUAGAGAUAUGAUUGAUUUUUUUAUUUUAUUUUUGUUAGGGACCCUACAUUCCUUCUGUAUAUUCAACAAUAAAAAGAUUAUGCAAAGAUUUCAAAAUAUGGACCUCAUACAAUGCUAUUGUAGAAGUUCAUGCAUUUGCUUUUUUUUACAAAGUAGGAGCAUGAUGCCAGUGGCUUCUGUUACAUAUAAGUUGGGAAGUUUUAGUUGAUUUGUGAUAUGCUUAGGUUGUAGGAAAUAGAUGAAUAUACAAUUAUUUACAUAAUAAUUAGGACUUAAAUUGAUGAGAAAUGCUACACAUACAGAUGUUUGUGCACAUAUCCGGACACAGAGGAACCAUCCAAUGCAUGCAUGGAAGUCCCAUAUGUACGGUAAACAUGGGGCUUACACACAUUGGAUGGUUCCGCAACAAUCUGUGUCUGAAACUGUGCACAGGUGUCUAUGUCCCUAGCCUUUUCGUAAAUUGACCCCGUGUACACAAAUUUAUGGAGUCGCCACUGUUUCUGCCCCCAAAUUUUGUUUCCAAUAGGUGCUUGCAAUAUUCGAUAAAUGUCUUCCAUUUCCUGGAAGAGAGUUUGCAAGGAUGUUAGUUUCUUUUGAAGGUUUGGUUGGUGGACCUAUAUCCCUGUGACCAUGUUCUCGGUCUGUACGAAUUAUUGUUCAUUUCCUUUCAAAAUUAAUUGUGGUCUGAAUAGUGGGCAUUGAUUCCAAUAUCCGAAAACCAUAUUCACUCUAAAGUCGAUCACAGAGUAGUCAUUAAGCACUACUCCUAUUUGGACUAUCCUCCUGUACUUGCACUGUUGACGCGUUUAAAAAUCUCUAUUGUACAUUAGACAAGAGAAGUACAUCAAGAAUAGUAGGUAGCUGUGAAAGCAGUUCAUUAAAUUUUGGAUCACUUUUUUGAGGAUGUGAAUGUAUUUAUUUAGAAGAUAGCUGUGGAAGCGAGACAAACUGAGGGUUGACCCCAUCUUUUGGCUAGGUGAGUUGAUGUAAGAUUCGUGACUUAGAAAACUUCUCUGCUUACAGAAUUGCUUCUUUUGUUUCAAGUGGUUUUAUGAAUCAUUGGCAUGUAGGCAAGUCUUUUCAUAUUGCUUUCAUUAUGCAACAUCUUUUUGUUUUGAGGUAGCAAAUAGCAAUAUAUGCGUGAGAAGUACUUUUUUCUCCUUUCUUUUACAUAUACUAUUCGAGCAUGUCCUUGCAUAAUUGACAUCUUGAUCUCAUGCAUGCACACAUGCUGCUUACCAUUCUCUGUAGUCUGUUUAUGUUUUGUCAUUUUAUUUGAAUAUGCAUUGGAAUCUAAACAUUUAACAAUUUUUGUCCACUUUGCCGCUGGGAUGUUAGUAUUUUUACUAGCGGUGGAAGCUAUGCUCUUUCUCUUAUUUGAAUGCCUAGUGAUGGUUUGGGGUGAAAAGGCUCAACUCUUGAAUAUAAAUCUCGUCUUUUUUUUCUUUUUCUUCUUCUUCUUGAGCAAUUGUUAUAGAAGAAAAUUGUGUCAAGAAGGGCAUAUCCUCAUAAGUACUAAGAGGGCUAUAAGCCUAUAAGAAAUACGGAGUAUCUGACAGACAUGAGAAUAUGUAUAUUUUGGAGAGCGGAAUAUGUUCCCUUCAAACAAGAAAAAAAUAUUAGAGAAUACACAAGGGAUUGUCCAGUUUUGAUGCAGAUAGAUUCAGAUUACAAGCUUUAACAGAAUUCAAUAUGCAAGCUUUAGCCCCCACAUGACGUCUGAUCCAGCUACAGGCUCUGGGAGCUAAAACAUUCCUGCAAUUUCUCUCCUGCAAGAAGUACUGACUUUACAUGUCAUGGCUGCCCAAGCAAGCUUGCUAACGAUUUUACGGAAAUUCUCUUCUGGAACUGUCCACCAGCCAAUUUACGUCAUGGUGCCAAGGGCGAAGGCUUUUAUUUCUAAGCUGACUCAGGAGAAAAAUUCCGCAAUUCAGCAAAAUAACAAGCUUCAGCAAGAAUUG